CAGCCGUGUGGUGAACACAGAGCGAACUAUUCUUUCGCCUUUUACUAAAGAAUACCGUGUGUUCGCCACUCAUAACGGCAUACGCCUACACUUUUACAAAAAGACUUUGGUCAAACUUG